AGUGAACGCUGGCGGUAGGCCUAACACAUGCAAGUCGAACGGCAGCACAGUAAGAGCUUGCUCUUACGGGUGGCGGGUGGCGGACGGGUGAGGAAUACAUCGGAAUCUACUUUUUCGUGGGGGAUAACGUAGGGAAACUUACGCUAGUACCGCAUACGACCUACGGGUGAAAGCAUGGGAUCUUCGGACCUUGCGCGAUUGAAUGAGCCGAUGUCGGAUUAGCUAGUUGGCGGGGUAAAGGCCCACCAAGGCGACGAUCCGUAGCUGGUCUGAGAGGAUGAUCAGCCACACUGGAACUGAGACACGGUCCAGGCUCCUACGGGAGGCAGCAGUGGGGAAUAUUGGACAAUGGGCGCAAGCCUGAUCCAGCCAUACCGCGUGGGUGAAGAAGGCCUUCGGGUUGUAAAGCCCUUUUGUUGGGAAAGAAAAGCAGCAGGUUAAUACCCCGCUGUUCUGACGGUACCCAAAGAAUAAGCACCGGCUAACUUCGUG
rnacentral:rRNA from 1 species